UAAUAACAAUUAUUAUUUGUAAUAACAAAUUAUUUCUUGAUCAGCAGGGCGGCAACUCCUCUGGUACGAACAGUGGCCAUUCAGACAGAUUACAGAUCCCUACAGUCCUGAAUAUGUGGCAUGCCCCGGAUCCAUUCCUGAGCUGCUGACUCUUGCCAAUCUUACUGGGGCCGUGGGCUUCCUGCUGGGCUAGUAGAAGUGGAGAUGAUGGAGAGAGCCAGGCAUGGCAACUCUACCCUCCCCUCAGUGACAUCUCUCAGCUGGAGAAGAGGAGGAAGAUGAUGGAUGUGCAGGAGAGGAAGGACUGGGCCUUUAGAGAGAAGGAGAUUGAGCAACUGCAAGAAGCGCAUCUGGAAGUGCUGAAGAGACUUUUGCAGAAGAAAGAGAGGAGAAGCAAAAAGAGAUCGAUACAAAGAGACUGGACUCAUGUUGGUCUAAGCUCCAGGCGGGGAAAGAAGAGCGAAUCAAACAGAUCCACAAACAGCACAUUACAGGUAUAGAGAGGCAGUAACACAGAUACCCCAACAACUCACAGACAGUAUGGCAACACUUUUAUAUUGCCCUGACUGGUAAAGUGAGCUGGGCACAAUCAUGGCAGUGCUACAGGAUUCAUAAUUUACCGUAUACUACUUUGUGUGCCAUUUAUUCACAGCAACUCAAUGCUACUCAUUACUUUUAGUUAGUCCCAUCUGGUCUGCUGCUUAUACAUCAGAUGGACUUAGGAAUUGAUCUACUAAGCAUGAAAUCUGACCUCAUUUUUUAUUACCCGCAUCAACAUCCCCUCUAGGUAAAGGGAAUAAAGUAAUUAUGGGAUAGAAUUCUAUGUACUUCCUAUAUUUGGGAUGUUCUCUUUCCCAUGAUUUGGUAGGAGAUGGGCCAAGGACCUGUUAGGGUUUCCAGCACUGACGAAUCUCUACAUUCCAGCCAGAGAAAGUAGAGUAAAGUGGUUUGGUGGCAUCUCCCGAUAGUAGUGGAUCUUACAACAGACUCUGUCUCUAUCUGCGUUGGAUCCCCUGCAAUCAGGAAACUGAUGGGUAAAACGAACAAUGUAGAAGGCAAACUGUUUUUCCAGAACCGUGCUGGCUUUUUUAACAAAGUCCAAUCUAGCCUUUCUAUUCUUGAUGCUUAUGAGUGGCUUGCACCUUGCAGUGCAUCCUCUGUAUUUGCUUUCAUGCAGUUUUCUAUUAGGGUCAGGGCACACAGACAGA